CCUGUCAGAAUGGUUACGAUCAACAAAUCAACAAAUGACAAAUGCUGGAAAGGAUGUGGAGAACAGGGGACCCUUAGUACACUGCUGCUGGGGAUGCAGACUGGUGCUGGGGUGCAAACAC